UACGGAGGGGGCUAGCGUUGUUCGGAAUUACUGGGCGUAAAGCGCGCGUAGGCGGACCUGCCAGUCGGGGGUGAAAGCCCGAGGCUCAACCUCGGAACUGCCUUCGAUACUGCGGGUCUCGAGUCCGGGAGAGGUGAGUGGAAUUCCUAGUGUAGAGGUGAAAUUCGUAGAUAUUAGGAAGAACACCAGUGGCGAAGGCGGCUUUCUGGACAGCAUCUGACGCUGAGACGCGAAAGCGUGGGGAGCAAACAGG
rnacentral:rRNA from 1 species